rnacentral:rRNA from 1 species
AUACGGAGGAUCCGAGCGUUAUCCGGAUUUAUUGGGUUUAAAGGGUGCGCGGGCGGGAGAUUAAGUCGGCGGUGAAAUUUUGCAGCUCAACUGUAAAAGUGCCUUCGAAACUGGUUUCCUUGAGUGUAGAUGAAGUAGGCGGAAUUUGUGGUGUAGCGGUGAAAUGCAUAGAUAUCACGAGGAACUCCGAUUGCGCAGGCAGCUUACUAAACUACGACUGACGCUCAGGCACGAAGGCGUGGGGAUCAAACAGGAUUAGAUACCCUGGUAGUCCACGCAGUAAACGAUGAUUACUAGCUGUUUGCGAUACAAUGUAAGCGGCUGAGCGAAAGCGUUAAGUAAUCCACCUGGGGAGUACGUUCGCAAGAAUGAAACUCAAAGGAAUUGACGGGG